AGUCGAGCGGUAGAGAGAAGCUUGCUUCUCUUGAGAGCGGCGGACGGCCGCAGUAAUGCCUAGGAAUCUGCCUAGUGGUGGGGGAUAACGUUCGGAAACGGACGCUAAUACCGCAUACGUCCUACGGGAGAAAGCGGGGGAUCUUCGGACCUCGCGCCAUUAGAUGAGCCUAGGUCGGAUUAGCUAGUUGGUGAGGUAAUGGCUCACCAAGGCGACGAUCCGUAACUGGUCUGAGAGGAUGAUCAGUCACACUGGAACUGAGACACGGUCCAGACUCCUACGGGAGGCAGCAGUGGGGAAUAUUGGACAAUGGGCGAAAGCCUGAUCCCGCCAUGCCGCGUGUGUGAAGAAGGUCUUCGGAUUGUAAAGCACUUUAAGUUGGGAGGAAGGGCAGUAACCUAGUACGUUAUUGUUUUGACGUUACCGACAGAAUAAGCACCGGCUAACUUCGUGCCAGCAGCCGCGGUAAUACGAAGGGUGCAAGCGUUAAUCGGAAUUACUGGGCGUAAAGCGCGCGUAGGUGGUUCAGUAAGUUGGAAGUGAAAUCCCCGGGCUCAACCCUGGGAACUGCUUUCAAAACUGCUGAGCUAGAGUACGGUAGAGGGUGGUGGAAUUUCCUGUGUAGCGGUGAAAUGCGUAGAUAUAGGAAGGAACACCCGUGGCGAAGGCCACCCCCUGGACUGAUACUGACACUGAGGUGCGAAAGCGUGGGGAGCCAAACAGGAUUAGAUACCCCUGGUAGUCCACCCCGUAAACCAUGUCACCUAGCCGUUGGGUUCCUUGAGAACUUAGUGGCCCCAGCUAACCCCUUUAGUUGAC
rnacentral:rRNA from 1 species